CACCCACAAUCUGGAUCCCUACAUUGGCUGUGAACUUGGACCAGGCUGCCCAAUCAUCCUGGUCAAAUGGAUCCUCAAUGGAGACCACUGCAGAAGGAGUGAUGAGGGGACUGUUGAUCUUCCCCUGGUCUCUGCUUCAGGAAGAUGGAAUCCACCUGCCCUUCACCCUAGGAUAAAAGCCCUUGGAAGACUAGGAGAGGAUAAUUCAGUCCCUCCUCAGCCUCUUCUCCAUUCAGACAUCAGUCCUGGCUCCAUUAAGCAUCCAGUUUCAUCAAUCAAACAGACUGAAAGGAUCGUACCCAGGGCCUCGCACGUGCUAGAUAAGGAAAAGGAAGCACAGAGA